GUGAGGAAUAUUGCGCAAUGGAAGCAACUCUGACGCAGCCAUGCCGCGUGCAGGAAGAAGGCGCUACGCGUUGUAAACUGCUUUUAACCGGGAAGAAACCCCAGGACGUGUCCUGGGUUGACGGUACCGGAGGAAUAAGCACCGGCUAACUUCGUGCCAGCAGCCGCGGUAAUACGAAGGGUGCAAGCGUUAUCCGGAUUCAUUGGGUUUAAAGGGUGCGUAGGCGGAGCGUUAAGUCAGUGGUGAAAUCCUGCAGCUUAACUGUAGACUUGCCAUUGAUACUGGCGCUCUUGAGUGCGCUUGAAGUGGGCGGAAUGUGCCGUGUAGCGGUGAAAUGCUUAGAUAUGGCACAGAACACCAAUUGCGAAGGCAGCUCACUAAGGCGAUACUGACGCUGAGGCACGAAAGCGUGGGGAUCGAACAGGAUUAGAUACCCGGGUAGUCC
rnacentral:rRNA from 1 species